CCUACGGGUGGCAGCAGUCGAGAAUCAUUCACAAUGGGGGAAACCCUGAUGGUGCGACGCAGCGUGGGGGAAUGAAGGUCUUCGGAUUGUAAACCCCUGUCAUGUGGGAGCAAAUUAAAAAGAUAGUACCACAAGAGGAAGAGACGGCUAACUCUGUGCCAGCAGCCGCGGUAAUACAGAGGUCUCAAGCGUUGUUCGGAAUCACUGGGCGUAAGGCGUGCGUAGGCUGUUUCGUAAGUCGUGUGUGAAAGGCGCGGGCUCAACCCGCGGACGGCACAUGAUACUGCGAGACUAGAGUAAUGGAGGGGGAACCGGAAUUCUCGGUGUAGCAGUGAAAUGCGUAGAUAUCGAGAGGAACACUCGUGGCGAAGGCGGGUUCCUGGACAUUAACUGACGCUGAGGCACGAAGGCCAGGGGAGCGAAAGGGAUUAGAUACCCCAGUAGUC
rnacentral:rRNA from 1 species